AGACUGAACGCUGGCGGCAUGCCUAACACAUGCAAGUCGAACGGCAGCACAGCCCCGCAAGGGGUGGGUGGCGAGUGGCGGACGGGUGAGGAAUACAUCGGAAUCAGCCCUGUUGUGGGGGAUAACCCAUCGAAAGGUGGGCUAAUACCGCAUGAGACGGAGACGUGAAAGCGGGGGACCUGUGAGGGCCUCGCGCGACGGGAUGAGCCGAUGUCGGAUUAGCUAGUUGGUAGGGUAAAGGCCUACCAAGGCGACGAUCCGUAGCUGGUCUGAGAGGAUGAUCAGCCACACUGGGACUGAGACACGGCCCAGACUCCUACGGGAGCAGCAGUGGGGAAUAUUGGACAAUGGGCGCAAGCCUGAUCCAGCAAUGCCGCGUGUGUGAAGAAGGCCUCGG
rnacentral:rRNA from 1 species